rnacentral:rRNA from 1 species
UACGGGGGGGGCAAGCGUUGUUCGGAAUUACUGGGCGUAAAGGGCUCGUAGGCGGCCAACUAAGUCGAACGUGAAAUCCCCGGGCUCAACCCGGGAACUGCGUCCGAUACUGGAAGGCUUGAAUCCGGGAGAGGGAUGCGGAAUUCCAGGUGUAGUGGUGAAAUGCGCAGAUAUCAGGAGGAACACCGGUGGCGAAGGCGGGUCUCUGGGCCGAUACUGACGCUGAGGAGCGAAAGCGUGGGGAGCGAACAGG